rnacentral:rRNA from 1 species
UGAAGACGUGAACCGAUGAAGGUGGAACGGACAGAGCUAGCGGAUCUGGCCUGCAUUCAGUUGUGGACUUGCGCACUUCAUGGGCGUUGCUCACCAGAUUGGGGGUGCGCUCUGUUGUGCGCAGGUUAGCGAUGCAUUUGCAGGUGGAGUGCGCCGAGACGUUCGGUGCAGUGGCAUGAGCUCAAUUUUGAGGCCAGCUCUUCGGGGUAUGGUACCCAGGUUGUGGGAGUGCUAUUUGUUCUGAGCGCUUUGUGCGGGCGUUGGAAUCGAGUGCGCGCUGUGGCGAGCUGGCAGUGGGCGGCGGUCGCGUGCGACACGUGCUCAUAGUCGAGUCGGUGCUGCGCGCACUCACAAUUUUGCUCGUUCUCGGUGUAAAAGCUGGUCAUCUGUCCGACCCGUCUUGAAACACGGACCAAGGAGUUUAGCGUGUGCGCGAGUCAUUGGGCGUUGAAAACCCAAAGGCGCAAUGAAAGUGAAGUCUUCCUUGUGGAGCUGAUGUGCGAGCGCGUUGGUUGCGGCCAGCGCGCGCAGCAUAAUCCCGUCCCGACUGCUCGCAGUGGGGCGGAGACAGAGCGUACGCGCUGAGACCCGAAAGAUGGUGAACUAUUCCUGAGCAGGAUGAAGCCAGAGGAAACUCUGGUGGAAGUCCGAAGCGAUUCUGACGUGCAAAUCGAUCGUCUGACUUG